UACAGAGGGGGCAAGCGUUGUUCGGAUUUACUGGGCGUAAAGGGUGUGUAGGUGGUUUUAAAAGUCAGAUGUGAAAAUCUUGCGCUUACCGCAAGAACUGCAUCUGAAACUCUAAAACUUGAGUUUGGAGGAAGGAAGUGGAAUUCUCGGUGUAGCGGUGAAAUGUGUAGAUAUCGAGAAGAACACCAGUGGCGAAAGCGGCUUCCUAUUCUAAAACUGACACUCAGACACGAAAGCCAGGGGAG
rnacentral:rRNA from 1 species